CCAGGAAUGUUAUUCUAAUCUUGAACAACCGACUUCAUCAACGAAAACAAAAAAAGAAGCAGUUAAAGCAGAUACACAAUUAAACAGCAGUGUACUGGUAGGCCUCCUAUGUAUAUUUGUGAUAUCAACUGUCAUCCUGGCAACAUUAAUAGCCCUGAUUCUAACAAAGAAAACUUCUUUGGACUGCUUAAACAGGAGGCGAAUUAAAACUGGUAGGAGUCAACAGCCCUCCGAAGAAUCAACACUACUAGAGCAAACAAUCUUAGUUAAAGAUCAAGCAGCAG